CCUACGGGAGGCAGCAGUGAGGAAUAUUGGUCAAUGGGCGCGAGCCUGAACCAGCCAAGUCGCGUGAGGGAAGAAGGUACUGAGUAUUGUAAACCUCUUUUGCCAGGGGACAAACGCGGCCACGUGUGGCCGUUAGAGGGUAACUGGAGAAAAAGCAUCGGCUAACUCCGUGCCAGCAGCCGCGGUAAUACGGAGGAUGCGAGCGUUAUCCGGAUUUAUUGGGUUUAAAGGGUGCGCAGGCGGCGUGUCAAGUCAGCGGUAAAAUGUCGGGGCUCAACCCCGGCCGGCCGUUGAAACUGGCGUGCUUGAGUUGGAGAGAGGUAUGCGGAAUUCGUGGUGUAGCGGUGAAAUGCAUAGAUAUCACGAAGAACCCCGAUUGCGAAGGCAGCAUACCGGCUCCACACUGACGCUGAGGCACGAAAGCGUGGGUAUCGAACAGGAUUAGAUACCCGAGUAGUC
rnacentral:rRNA from 1 species